rnacentral:rRNA from 1 species
GAUGAACGCUGGCGGCGUGCCUAAUACAUGCAAGUCGAGCGAACAGACGAGGAGCUUGCUUCUCUGACGUUAGCGGCGGACGGGUGAGUAACACGUGGAUAACCUACCUAUAAGACUGGGAUAACUUCGGGAAACCGGAGCUAAUACCGGAUAAUAUAUUGAACCGCAUGGUUCAAUAGUGAAAGACGGUUUUGCUGUCACUUAUAGAUGGAUCCGCGCUGCAUUAGCUAGUUGGUAAGGUAACGGCUUACCAAGGCAACGAUGCGUAGCCGACCUGAGAGGGUGAUCGGCCACACUGGAACUGAGACACGGUCCAGACUCCUACGGGAGGCAGCAGUAGGGAAUCUUCCGCAAGGGGCGAAAGCCUGACGGAGCAACGCCGCGUGAGUGAUGAAGGUCUUCGGAUCGUAAAACUCUGUUAUUAGGGAAGAACAAAUGUGUAAGUAACUAUGCACGUCUUGACGGUACCUAAUCAGAAAGCCACGGCUAACUACGUG